UUUUCCACAUAACCCCCCUAUGGUUUCAAAAGCUAUACAUGACCCCCUUAUGGUUUGGAUUAAAGUGUCAAAGUAACGGAAGUAGUCACUCGUAACGGCGUCACCUAAAAUGUCAAAAAUACCCUUAUGUAAGGUUGAAAUUUAUGUAUUAACCAAGGGGGGUUAUGUGUAUAUUUUGAAAAUCAUAAGGGGGUUAUAUGGUAAAGUAUUAAACCAUAAGGGGGUUAUAUGGUAAAAUAUA
rnacentral:lncRNA from 1 species